AUAUCAUUAAGCGGAGGAGAAGAAAUUAACUAAGAUUGCCCUAGUAACGGCGAGUGAAGCGGCAAAAGCCCAAACUGGAAAUCUUGUACACCCCGUGUGCACGAAUUGUAAUCUAUAGAGUGCUUGCUCACCGGGUGGUGGCGCAGAAGUGCCUUCGAACGGGCCGCCAAAGAGGGUGCCAGCCCCGUAUGUGGUGCCACCGCCUAACGAGUGGGUAUUCGAAGAGUCGGGUUGUUUUGUAUUGCAGCCCUAAGUGGGAGAUAAACUUCUUCUAAGGCUAAAUAUAUAUGGGAGACCGAUAGCGCACAAGUA
rnacentral:rRNA from 1 species